AAGGGCACCACAAGAACGCGUGGAGCAUGUGGCUUAAUUUGACUCAACGCGGGAAAUCUUACCGGGUCCGGACACACUGAGGAUUGACAGACAAAUACACAUACUACGGUGUGUGCAUGAAAUAUGCUAGUUCUUUCAUGAUUAUGUGAUAGGUGGUGCAUGGCCGUUCUUAGUUCGUGGAGUGAUCUGUCUGCUUAAUUGCGUUUCACUAAAGGCACAUACACAUAAUAUUGAUGUGUUGUGUAUAAUUUAUAAUUAUACGCAUACACACAUAUUAUAUUGUGCUUUGAAAGCAACGAACGUGACCGCAACCUCUUGUUGCCUGUAUAUAUGUGUAUUUUAUACACACCACAGGCUAUUAUAAACUAGAGGGACCGCUGUUACUUUCUUUUAAACCAGAGGAAGGUUGCGGCAAUAACAGGUCUGUGAUGCCCUUAGAUGUUCCGGGCUGCACACGUGCUACAAUGAUCAUUGCAGUGCGCAUCUCAUUUUGUUAUACACUGCUUGUGCGUAUGUGCACCAUAUAUUUAUAUGUGUGUGUAUGUAUUGCACGCAGUAAAGCCUACUUCGAAAGUUGUGGGUAAUCAAUUUGAAGUAAUGAUUUCUCCAAAUAUAUAUACUGCACACUCAUAUACAGUGUCUUAUGUCCAUGAAAAUAUUUUAUUUUUGUGUGUGCAUUCGACGCUCGUAUGUGCAAUUGUCAAUUCAUGGUGGGGACAGACCAUUGUUAAUUGUUGGUCUCGGUCUUAACUAGGAAUGCCUUGUACGGGUCUUUGGUUCAACAAACCACCCGGAAUACGUCCCUGCCCUUUGUACACACCGCCCGUCGCUCUUACCGAUGGACUUCUCUGUGAGUUUGAGGGACUGGAUUUUAUAUCUAUGG
rnacentral:rRNA from 1 species